GAUGAACGCUGGCGGCGUGCCUAAUACAUGCAAGUCGAGCGAACAGACGAGGAGCUUGCUCCUCUGACGUUAGCGGCGGACGGGUGAGUAACACGUGGAUAACCUACCUAUAAGACUGGGAUAACUUCGGGAAACCGGAGCUAAUACCGGAUAAUAUCUUGAACCGCAUGGUUCAAUAGUGAAAGACGGUUUUGCUGUCACUUAUAGAUGGAUCCGCGCCGCAUUAGCUAGUUGGUAAGGUAACGGCUUACCAAGGCAACGAUGCGUAGCCGACCUGAGAGGGUGAUCGGCCACACUGGAACUGAGACACGGUCCAGACUCCGACGGGAGGCAGCAGUAGGGGAUCUUCCGCAAUGGGCGAAAGCCUGACGGAGCAACGCCGCGUGAGUGAGGAAGGUCUUCGGAUCGUAAAACUCUGUUAUUAGGGAAGAACAAAUGUGUAAGUAACUAUGCACGUCUUGACGGUACCUAAUCAGAAAGCCACGGCUAACUACGUG
rnacentral:rRNA from 1 species